GCGAUCAUAUCAGUACUAAUGGACCGGAUCCCAUUAGAACUCCGCAGUUAAGCGUGCUUAGGUGAGAGUAGUACUAGUGUGGGUGACACCAUGGGAAGUCCUCGUGUUGCACCCC
rnacentral:rRNA from 1 species